rnacentral:rRNA from 1 species
UGGGGAAUUUUGGACAAUGGGCGAAAGCCUGAUCCAGCAAUGCCGCGUGUGCGAAGAAGGCCUUCGGGUUGUAAAGCACUUUUGUCCGGAAAGAAAUCCGCCUGGCCAAUACCCGGGCGGGAUGACGGUACCGGAAGAAUAAGCACCGGCUAACUACGUGCCAGCAGCCGCGGUAAUACGUAGGGUGCGAGCGUUAAUCGGAAUUACUGGGCGUAAAGCGUGCGCAGGCGGCUUUGUAAGACAGAUGUGAAAUCCCCGGGCUCAACCUGGGAAUGGCGUUUUGAACUGGCAGGCUAGAGUGCGUCAGAGGGGGGUGGAAUUCCACGUGUAGCAGUGGAAUGCGUAGAGAUGUGGAGGAACACCGAUGGCGAAGGCAGCCCCCUGGGAUGACACUGACGCUCAUGUACGAAAGCGUGGGUAGCAAACA